rnacentral:rRNA from 1 species
UGGGGAAUAUUGCACAAUGGGCGCAAGCCUGAUGCAGCCAUGCCGCGUGUAUGAAGAAGGCCUUCGGGUUGUAAAGUACUUUCAGCGGGGAGGAAGGGAGUAAAGUUAAUACCUUUGUUCAUUGACGUUACCCGCAGAAGAAGCACCGGCUAACUCCGUGCCAGCAGCCGCGGUAAUACGGAGGGUGCAAGCGUUAAUCGGAAUUACUGGGCGUAAAGCGCACGCAGGCGGUUUGUUAAGUCAGAUGUGAAAUCCCCGGGCUCAACCUGGGAACUGCAUCUGAUACUGGCAAGCUUGAGUCUCGUAGAGGGGGGUAGAAUUCCAGGUGUAGCGGUGAAAUGCGUAGAGAUCUGGAGGAAUACCGGUGGCGAAGGCGGCCCCCUGGGCGAAGACUGACGCUCAGGUGCGAAAGCGUGGGGAGCAAACAGG